rnacentral:rRNA from 1 species
UACAGGGGGGGCAAGCGUUGUUCGGAAUUACUGGGCGUAAAGGGCUCGUAGGCGGCCAACUAAGUCACACGUGAAAUCCCCAGGCUUAACCUGGGAACUGCGUGUGAUACUGGAUGGCUUGAAUUCGGGAGAGGGAUGCAGAAUUCCAGGUGUAGCAGUGAAAUGCGUAGAUAUGUGGAGGAACACCGAUGGCGAAGGCAGCCCCCUGGGCCUGCACUGACGCUCAUGCACGAAAGCGUGGGGAGCAAACAGG